rnacentral:tRNA from 1 species
GAGGGCGUAGCUCAGUGGUAGAGCGUGUGCUUAGCAUGCACGAGGUCCUGGGUUCAAUCCCCGUACCUCUG